UACGUAGGGGGCAAGCGUUGUCCGGAUUUAUUGGGCGUAAAGAGCGUGUAGGCGGCUUUACAGGUCCGUUGUGAAAACUCGAGGCUCAACCUCGAGACGCCGGUGGAAACCGUAAAGCUAGAGUCCGGAAGAGGAGAGUGGAAUUCCCGGUGUAGCGGUGAAAUGCGCAGAUAUCAGGAGGAACACCGGUGGCGAAGGCGGUUCUCUGGGCAUUACCUGACGCUGAGGAGCGAAAGUGUGGGGAGCGAACAGG
rnacentral:rRNA from 1 species